AGUGAACGCUGGCGGUAUGCCUAACACAUGCAAGUCGAACGGCAGCACAGUAAGAGCUUGCUCUUACGGGUGGCGAGUGUCGGACGGGUGAGGAAUACAUCGGAAUCUACUUUUUCGUGGGGGAUAACGUAGGGAAACUUACGCUAAUACCGCAUACGACCUACGGGUGAAAGCAGGGGAUCUUCGGACCUUUCGCGAUUGAAUGAGCCGAUGUCGGAUUAGCUAGUUGGCGGGGUAAAGGCCCACCAAGGCGACGAUCCGGAGCUGGUCUGAGAGGAUGAUCAGAUAGACGGGAACUGAGACACGGCCCAGACUCCUACGGGAGGACGCAGUGGGGAAUAUUGGACAAUGGGGGCAAGCCUGAUACAGCCAUACCGCGUGGGUGAAGAAGGCCCUCGGGUUGUAAAGCCCUUUUGUUGGGAAAGAAAAGCAGCAGGUUAAUACCCCGCUGUUAUGACGGUACCCAAAGAAUAAGCACCGGCUAACUUCGUG
rnacentral:rRNA from 1 species